GGUGGACAAGGGGAACAGCUGGGCGCCGUUCGGACGGACGUACGAAGGCGCCACCACGCUCCACUGCGCCAUCAUGGGCAACGCGCCGAGGAUUCCCCUGGAUGACGAGUCUCUCGAUUACCCUCGCAAGCAAAGCAUAAGAGAUAUCGAGGAUCAGGACUUUCAUGAUGAAAAUUCAGGAGAAAUAAAGAAGGACAAAGAUGAAUUAGAAAGAGG